UUUCCUUGCAAUCUAAAAAGACUCUAAUGCCAGAAAGAGAAAACUAAUGCCAGAAAGCAUUUACUCUUCAGAAUCUCUACCACACUAUUUAUUUUCUUCUCUUAAAUGACACCAUAGACUGAAUUGCAAGGCUUGUUUCAAUCUGAGACCCUCCUGAUGUUCUGUAAAAAAUAAUAAACUCUUCCCUUUAAAAGCGAAAUGCAGAAUUCAAGUAAAAAUGAUGUGAGUAUUAAGGAGAACAGGGGAACUUCAUUAUUCAUGGUGGAUGUAGUGAAUGGCAAAGAUAAUUUCAAAAAGUAGACAUGGGAAAAAAAGAUUUAAAAAAAGACAGAGGUAUGCUCAUACCCACGGGCAAUGUGUAGCCUUCAGCGCCGGCUUUCUGCCUUUUCUGCCAGCUCUGCCCCAGGCUCUGCAUCUCCCCACAUUACAUUGCUGGAGCGCAUCCAGAGGGAAGACAGGGAUGUAGCUGCUCCACAGAGCAGAUGAAGUGUGGCCUGAACCUGUUCAACAGCCUGGCCUGUCCUUUCUGGAGGCAGUGUUCAGGCUGACUCCACAACGCGAGCAUCCUGUUACGCCUUUGUCCAUCGGCAGCUUUUAGUCUGGCUUAUUGUGUGGCCCUCCAGCAAUCUGAGUGGACACAGUGGAAGACGGGAGUGAAGGGUUGAGGGGAGAAGGAAAGGCUGAAAGGUGUGUGGAGAUUUCAGAUUGCCUCUUCUCUCUUAUCACAUGUUGAAGACACUGGCAGGAAUUGACUUCAUGGCUCUGAGGACCAGAGAAAUGUGGGGAGGAAACAGGUUUGCUCCUGCUCUGCUGCUUUAACGUGGGAUUGCAUCUGGAGAACAGACUGCCAUCUUAGAGAAGAAAGGAUGCAUUUCCAGCUUCAAGCAACUUCCAUUAGCUUUAUCAAAGUCUUCUUGUGGUUGAGUGCCACAGAAUCAGGCUACGUUAAUCUCAUCUUUUUCAUGUGAUCUUUAUGUUUGGGAGAACAUACUGGCCUUCUGGGAAAAGGACGGGUUCUGCCUGCUGGACCCAGAGGAAAUAUAUAACACCAGAAGCAGAGAAGAGAGCAAGUGCGUUCACUUGGACUACAGGCAAAUUUACCUUCUCAGUUCUUCUUCAGAUGGAUUCUGCUCUCCACCACAAGGCUCCAUCCUGAAGGCAAAGUAUUUCCUUUCACCUCUCUGUUGCUUGAUCUGUGGUAAAUAUGAGAGCUCUUGUCAGUUGCUGGGCUCCUCAAAUGAGUGGCGUCUGAGUGCUCUGCAACAUGGUCGAGCCUCUGUCAGGCAGCAGCAUGGCCAACCUAGUGUUUUCAUGGAGGAAAAUAAAGGAACCAGUUCUCUAAGCCAUGACAGCAGCAUGCUUCUGGCAUUGGAAUAGAAUGAGCUGCAUCUGUUUAAACCACCUGUGGUUCUAGCCCAUAAUUUUCAGGCUCACAGCAUCCUGUCACAGCGAAACGCUCUGAAGAUGAUUCAGAUGUACUGUCAGACCGAAUUUGGCCCAGUGACUGUAACCAAAGUCAGAAUGUUUAUUACCAGUCAAUUUGUACACAUGCCUGUGGCUCUUAUUCUUGGAAACGACCUCCCCAGCUGACUGUGAAAUGCUGCUAUUUCUGGUGCAAAAAGUACAUUUUUCCUGUGCUAGACCAACUCAUCUUGGAAGCACCAUUUAGUUAAUGUAGCUGUUUGCUGAAUGUCCUUCCCUUGUGUGCAGGAACUUCUGAUAAGUACUACAGUUUAUGGCACCUGCAUCCUUUUUAUUAUAAAUGUAGGACAGGGAAACAAAUGCAGCCUGCUGCAAGUGAGGGAAAUGCUGCUGCUGUAGCAGGAAAAAUCCCUGUUGUAUGACAGCCUUGUUCUUCUCUUGCAGAAUGAAGACAGGGAGCUGGUUUCAUGAUAUUAUUUGAAACCAGCAUGAAGAGGGCCAUAACCAGUCUGCAAUCUCCAGACAUUCUAGUGGGAGAUUUUUAAGGCUAUUUGAGCAUUUUGAGCUACAUUGUUUCCCCCUGAGCAGAAAAAUUCUUCCCUGCCAUUCUGCACCUUCUAUUGAUCAUGGUUCAGGGAUCAAAGUAAAGUGCAUUUUGUGAGAAGCAAAGGUUAAAGUCAUUCGCAAAGUUUCAGCUGGGAGUUCAGGGGCAAGCGUUUGGGCAGCAAACACAGGCUGGAGCCCUCACUGUCCUGCUGCCUGCCACCCAUGGCAGCUGUUCUGAAAUCUUGUUGCUUCUGCAGGGACUU
rnacentral:lncRNA from 1 species